CAUGCACUGGUGGGGUCCCUCGGCCUGGCCUGCACCCUCUUGCAAUCUAGGAUCCCUUGAGGUAUGUCGGACUGCCAGUUUUGACCUGAUCCCUGCAGGCCAGGCUGAGGGACCCCACUGGUGCACA
rnacentral:pre_miRNA from 1 species